rnacentral:SRP_RNA from 1 species
GGGAAAGUCUUGCACGACCAGCUCCCUCUGAAUUCCCCCAGGGUUGGAAGACAGCAAGGGUAGGAGGUUGUAGCGGUGCGAUGCAAGGGGCUUUCCCUU